GGACUGUGGAUACAUUUGCUGUGCUGAACGAACGUGCCAGAGAUAUCUCAGAACUUGGCUUCCCGGUAUCUAUAACGAAGGUCGAUGCUGCAGUCCAUUUAACACAAGCUGGGAAAACAUACUUUUUCGCUGGAGACCUAUGUUGGAGCUAUGAUGAAAAACAGCAGGUGAUGGAUAAUGGUUUCCCCAAACCUAUUGAGUUCCUGUUCCCUGGCAUUGGAAAUGAUUUAGAUGCAGCAUUCGAGCACAAAAAUGGAUCCAUCUCCUUUUUCCGGGGAACAACGGAAAUUGCAUAUGACCCGAGGAAGCAGUUUGUUUCUACAAAUAAUUUAUCAUUGUGCUAAUGUUUGUAUAAUAAAGGCACAUUAUACAUUUAUCAUUACAGCAAAC